GUGUGCGGGGCCGGGCAGUGAGAGCAGAGGCAGUCAGUGUUCGGGCUACAUCGGCGAGUGUCGGAAGGGCGCCGUGUGUUGUGACGAGAACCCUCUGCCAUGCACUGACUGCCGCCCUCACCUCCCUCACCCAACCUCCUGAGCAGCCCGCGCCGCCCCGCCACGCCGUGAUAGCGAUAAGAGGCGGUGGGGCGAUAAGCAGCGUCACGAGAAAACAGUAUGUGCCGGGCAGUGAGUGGGGAAGGGCGCACGCCGGUGAUUCCUUUUGCACAUUGAUUUUAACCCGCGGGAGGCAGGCGAGGCAUUGGUGUGUGUAUGUGUGCGUGUACCUGAGGUGUUCCCAGGUGCAGCGGCAACACACAGGUGACGGGCGCGGUGCUGAUGUGGUGCUGUGUGCUGGCGUGUGAGCGGUAAGUGCAGCCACGUGGUGGGCGUGCAGGCGGUGCGGCCAGAAGUAGGCGCGGCGCCCCCCUCACCGUGGAGACGUGUUGCGGCGAGCGGGAGGAGGCGGGGGGAGUAGGAAGGACUCGAAGGGUUCUGCAGGCCAUGAACGGGGAGGCUGUGGGGGGCGAGGCGGGGGGCGGGGGCCGGGUGGUCACCUCCCAGCCGUCCUACCUCCGGACAGGCUCCACGCCCCCGGCAUACUCCAGCUCCCCGAGGCUGCGGCGCCUAGACGACAUGAAGAAGUCCUACAUGACGGGCGGCGUCGGGAGCGGCGUGGGAGGGGGCGUGGGCUCCUCAUCCACCACGUCCUCCACUUAUAACUCCACUUACGCCUCCAAGUACUCAAGUGGCAGUGGAAACUCAUACCGCCUGGCCUCCCUUGACCGCCUCGCGCAGCGCCACAAACUGUAUGAUGCCACCGGCGCCGCCACGCCCCCUGACGCCAACGGUGGGGUGGCGGCCGACGCUGGAGGAGGAGGAGGAGGCGGAGGAGGCGGAGGAGGGGGAGGGGCAAGAGACACGCCCAAAGAGAACGCCUCCUCCACCGUCAUCGCGUCCGCCGCUGCUCAGGAGUCGGGCAUUCCUGUCGCUUUACAAAGCAAGAGAGAAAUGUUCUUCAAGACAGAGGCAGGCAGUGGGGGUGGUGGUGGUGGUGGCCCCCCAUUAAGUGCCCCCUCCGCCGCCCCACCAGCGCCCCCCGUCAGCGCCCCCUCGUCAGCGCCUCCACCGCCCCCCUCCUCCACCGCCCCUGCCCCCGCCGCCCCCACCUCGGCGCCCCCUGCGAGUGUGGCCUCCAUCAAGGAACAGCUCAUGACAACGAAGGAGAGGAAAGAACAUAAGGAAGAGGAAAAUAAAGAGAACAAGCUGGUGAAGGAGCUGGUGAGAGAGAGGCGCCCCAGGGAGGUGGACGGCUACGUGGGCUUCGCUAACCUCCCCAACCAGGUGUACCGCAAGGCUGUCAAGAGGGGCUUCGAGUUCUCCCUCAUGCUUGUGGGUGAGAGUGGGCUGGGUAAGAGCACACUAAUCAACUCCAUGUUUCUGGCUGACAUCUAUUCCAAUGAUCACCCGGGGCCUUCCCACCGAGUGAAGAAAACUGUACAGGUGGAGACGACCAAGGUGCUGCUGAAGGAGAACGGGGUCAACCUGAUGCUGACAGUCGUGGACACGCCUGGCUUUGGUGACGCCGUGGACAAUAGUGACUGCUGGCAGCCGGUGACCAAUUACGUUGAGUCCAAGUAUGAAGAGUAUCUGAACUGUGAGUCUCGGGUGAAUCGAACACAGAUCAGCGACACCCGGGUCCACUGCUGCCUGUACUUCAUUGCCCCCUCCGGUCACGGCCUGAAGCCCCUGGACGUGGAGUACAUGCGGCGGCUGCAUGACAAGGUGAACAUCAUCCCUGUCAUAGCCAAGGCUGACACUCUCACCCCAGACGAGUGCCAGCACCUCAAGAAACAGGUCCUCAAUGAAAUAGCACAGCACAAGAUCAAGAUUUAUGAGUUCCCUGACGAGGAAGGGGAUGCCACCAGCGCCAAGAUGAAGCAGCGGGUUCCCUUCGCUGUGGUUGGCUCCAACACAACAGUGGAGGUGGACGGGAAGAAGGUGCGGGGGAGGAAGUACCCGUGGGGAGUAGUGGAAGUGGAGAACAUUGAGCACUGUGACUUCAUCCCGCUGCGCAACAUGAUGAUCCGGACACACAUGCAGGACCUCAAGGACGUCACCAACAACGUGCACUAUGAGAACUACCGCUGCCGCAAGCUGGCCGGUGUGGGCGGCACAGAUGGCAAGAUUAAGAUGACCAACAAAUGCCAAGAAGGAAAUGAUACUCAUCCCUGUCCUUCCCACCACAGGAACCCACUAGCACAAAUGGAGGAGGAGAAGAGAGAGCACACAAAUCGCAUGAAGAAAAUGGAGAGUGAGAUGGAGCAGGUGUUUGAGAUGAAGGUGAAGGAGAAGAUGACCAAGCUCAGCGACCUUGAGAGUGACCUUCAGAAACGUAAUGAAUCGAUGCGUAAGAAGUUGGAAGCGGACUUUGCAGAGCUUGAGGAAGAGCGGGAGAGGUUUGAGAAGGAGCGGAAGGCUUGGGAGGCGGCAAAUGGAACCACUGUGGAUGAACUGAGGCGCAAAUCCCUCGAGUCCAUUAGCAGAGACAAAUGGAGCUCUCGAUCAAGCUUGCAUUUCUGGCACCGCUAGCUCGCUCCCGCUUGUUGCCCUCAUCCCUAAGCUUUAGUCCGGCCGCCCCAUGUGCCAAGGGUGUGUAGGACACCACCUCACCUUUGUUUUGCUCGCAGAAGCUUGGCAUGUGGAUGGGAAAGAGAAACCCAAAAAGAGGAAAGGACUGUUUUAAAAAGCAAUGCCGCAGUUUCCACUAUCUUAAAACAACACCUUACCCGUCAAACAAAAAAGAACAAAAAAAAUAUUACUGCUUCAACCACUUCAUUCCACACUUCUUCCCUUGCCUCUCCACUCCCUUCAGUCCCUCCACACUUGUACCCAUUCCUAUUCCUCUCCAUUCAGCCCCAAUCCUUAUUUCAUCCUACUCCCCUUAUACCUCUUCCCCUCUCCUCCUCUGUUUUCAAAGCCCCUCAGAAAUUUCUUCAAAGUUCCCUGUGCCUGAGAACAUUAGUGUUUUGUUGGAGUGUCAGUAGUCCAGCAAGGGAGGCAGCGGUGGCAGUGCCAACACCCAAACUGUCACAGCACUGUGUGGCAUGAGGCGCCAUCCCUGCAGUGCCACACCUGCCUAUAAUUAAGCUUGCUGUCUGCACCGAGGCCAACUCUUAGUGCCUAUGGAGUGUGACUGUGUGGCCUUGAAGAAGUAUUUGGCCUGUAUGCCUUGACACUCCUGUACACACACCUUGUGUACAUGUGAAAAGGUUGUUUGCACUUGAAAAACUGUGCCAACAAACUUAAAAACAAGAAAAGUUACAGGGCUGAAACUCAUAACCCACCCUGAGUGGCAGAGCAGGCAGACAUGUUCAUCUGGGAGGUCAUGCCAAGGACCAUGUUUCCCAGUGCCAAGGAAGUGAUGCUGAGGGCCGCCAGAAGUGCUGCUGUUCACCCACUGCUGCCACAUCAACAUUGACUGCCCAUAGUGCUGGUCCAUUGUGGGCUUGUGUGUCAGGCAGGGCACUCACCACUGCCCACUUCAACAGCCAUCCUCACCCCUUCCCUGCUACCUUGCAUCAUCCUCCACACUCCCCUUGACAUCCCUCAACAUAGCCCCAUGUACCCCUCUACAGUCUCAUGUAGUUAUAUAGCUCCAUACAGCCUCCCUAGCACCAAAACAUUACAUAACAUGCUCAUAGAUCCUAUUCAGUUUGUUACAGCCUCACCUAAAACAAUAUGACAUCUCUCCCCCCCUUCUUUACCUCCCUUCACAGCACCCCAAAGCUCCCCAUAAAUUUUAUAACUUGAUUUCAAUUCCCCUUGGCAUCCUCCAUCAUCUCCUUUCAGCCUCUCUACUGCCUUUAAGUUUAUCUCCUGUGGUGGUUCAUUCCAGUGUGCUGGCAUGGUCCCCUUCCCUCCCUCCCACCCUCACACUCAGGCAUCCCACCUAAUGCUCCUCUGUGGUGCUGGGGGUGGGAGGGGCAGGGGUGCUGUGGUGAGGUGCUGUGGAGGUCUAUACAUCCCUGCCACCUCCCCCCAUGCCACAACCCACAAGUAGUAGUUAGUUCAUAUUCAUCUGUGUCUCAGGGGGGAAGGAGAAGAGCUGUUUACACCUUUCCCUCCCUCCCUGGCAGGCACACUCCAAGUUAAGGAUGAGGUACAGGAUGUGCCCUGACUCCUCACACCAUGCCCUUUUACCGGCCUGUCUCACACCUCAUCAGCACUUGUUAAUUUCCACCUUGCUUUUUGCUCACUGUCAGUCAAGCAGAAUACGCAUAGGUCCCUCAUCGCCAAUGUUCGUAUCAGCUAACAUCCAUGUGCAGGCUUUGAAGACAGGCAGAGUGACCGCCUGACACCCCUGUUUUACUUGAAGCCAGUAUGUGUAAUGACUUGCCAUGUAUGAUGUAUUUGACAUGUGUCUGUUGACCUACAUAGCUGUAUUUUUUAACUCAUCAGAGACCCACUUGACUUCCCCAUAACUGCUUCUUGUCCAUGCUUAAGUUGUCUGCCAGGAGUGCGUUUCGUGUUCAUGUAAUUCAUAACCCCUCUAAGACAUCGAUUGGACUGCAACGUAACAAUGCUUCCUUGUCCCUGCCAGAGUCAUCUGCCGUGGAGAUGGUGGGCUGGCCCGGGACCCAGCGAGGGGCCAGGCUAGGGGCACUACAAAGGCUGGGCUGUGUUGGACCACUAGACUAAAUACGGGGGAAACUUUUUCAUUUGUAAGACAUAGAAUAGCUGCCCUUGCCUUUCUUUGCCCCCGCUGACCCUCCCUGGGGCCGGGUCGGCACGGGUCAGGGGUCACAUCCUUACAUGGUGUAAAUAGUGUACUUACAACUGUAGGAGGUUUAAGUCUGUGUAAACAAAGGGUAUUAUUAGACUAUGUUUUUUAUUAUUAUUAUUAUUAUUAUUAUUAUUAUUAUUAUUAUUAUUAUUAUUAUUAUUAUUAUUAUUAUCAUCAUGAUUUUUUAAGACCUGCCUUUCAUUUUCUACUCUUUUUUUUUUUUUUUAUGAUAAUUAUGAUUAUUAACAUUUUCUUCAUCCUUUCAACUAGUCGUUAUUCCUACAUACAUUUUUUUACUCCCUAUUGUAUUCAGUUCACUGUCUGGCCCACUGCCACUGAACUGUAAAUAAGUGUAUACAUUUAUAUUGUUCAAACAACCAGCCUCUCCCAGGCCUGUUUGUAGCCUCUUCUUAUUUAUCUCUCAAUAAAGUGUGUGCUCUGC